rnacentral:rRNA from 1 species
UACGGAGGGGGCAAGCGUUGUUCGGAAUUACUGGGCGUAAAGGGCGCGCAGGCGGCUGCUCAAGUCAGGCGUGAAAGGCCUGGGCUCAACCCGGGAAUUGCGCUUGAGACUGGGCUGGCUUGAGUGCGGGAGAGGAUGGUGGAAUUCCCAGUGUAGAGGUGAAAUUCGUAGAUAUUGGGAAGAACACCAGUGGCGAAGGCGGCUUACUGGUCCGGUUCUGACGCUGAGGCGCGAAAGCGUGGGGAGCAAACAGG